GUGCCAGCAGCCGCGGUAAUACGGAGGGUGCAAGCGUUGUUCGGAAUUACUGGGCGUAAAGGGCGCGUAGGCGGCCUCACCAGUCCGGUGUGAAAGCCCGGGGCUCAACCCCGGAAGGGCACUGGAUACUGUGAGGCUUGAGUUCGGGAGAGGAGGGCAGAAUUCCCGGUGUAGGGGUGAAAUCCGUAGAUAUCGGGAGGAAAACCAGUGGCGAAGGCGGCCCUCUGGAACAGAACUGACGCUGAGGCGCGAAAGCGUGGGGAGCAAACAGGAUUAGAAACCCUGGUAGUCC
rnacentral:rRNA from 1 species